rnacentral:rRNA from 1 species
AGAGUUUGAUCCUGGUUCUAAUUGUUUGCUGGCGGUAUGCUUAACACAUGCAAGUCGAACGGUAACAGAACUAGCUUGCUAGUUGCUGACGAGUGGCGGACGGGUGAGUAACGCGUAGGAAUCUGCCUAGUAGUGGGGGACAACCUGGUGAAAACCAGGCUAAUACCGCAUACGCCCUACGGGGGAAAGCGGGGGAUCUUCGGACCUCGCGCUAUUAGAUGAGCCUGCGUUAGAUUAGCUAGUUGGUGGGGUAAAGGCCUACCAAGGCGACGAUCUAUAGCUGGUCUGAGAGGACGAUCAGCCACACUGGGACUGAGACACGGCCCAGACUCCUACGGGAGGCAGCAGUGGGGAAUAUUGGACAAUGGGCGCAAGCCUGAUCCAGCAAUACCGCGUGUGUGAAGAAGGCCUGAGGGUUGUAAAGCACUUUCAAUUGGGAGGAAAAGUUUAGUGUUAAUAGCACUGAACCUUGACGUUACCUUUAGAAGAAGCACCGGCUAACUCCGUGCCAGCAGCCGCGGUAAUACGGAGGGU